rnacentral:rRNA from 1 species
GAUGAACGCUGGCGGCGUGCCUAAUACAUGCAAGUCGAGCGAACGGACGAGAAGCUUGCUUCUCUGAUGUUAGCGGCGGACGGGUGAGUAACACGUGGAUAACCUACCUAUAAGACUGGGAUAACUUCGGGAAACCGGAGCUAAUACCGGAUAAUAUUUUGAACCGCAUGGUUCAAAAGUGAAAGACGGUCUUGCUGUCACUUAUAGAUGGAUCCGCGCUGCAUUAGCUAGUUGGUAAGGUAACGGCUUACCAAGGCAACGAUGCAUAGCCGACCUGAGAGGGUGAUCGGCCACACUGGAACUGAGACACGGUCCAGACUCCUACGGGAGGUAGCAGUAGGGAAUCUUCCGCAAUGGGCGAAAGCCUGACGGAGCAACGCCGCGUGAGUGAUGAAGGUCUUCGGAUCGUAAAACUCUGUUAUUAGGGAAGAACAUAUGUGUAAGUAACUGUGCACAUCUUGACGGUACCUAAUCAGAAAGCCACGGCUAACUACGUGCCAGCAGCCGCGGUAAUACGUAGGUGGCAAGCGUUAUCCGGAAUUAUUGGGCGUAAAGCGCGCGUAGGCGGUUUUUUAAGUCUGAUGUGAAAGCCCACGGCUCCACCCGUGGAGGGUCAUUGGAAACUGGAAAACUUGAGUGCAGAAGAGGAAAAGUGGAAUUCCAUGUGUAGCGGUGAAAUGCGCAGAGAUAUGGAGGAACACCAGUGGCGAAGGCGACUUUCUGGUCUGUAACUGACGCUGAUGUGCGAAAGCGUGGGGAUCAAACAGGAUUAGAUACCCUGGUAGUCCACGCCGUAAACGAUGAGUGCUAAGUGUUAGGGGGGUUUCCGCCCCUUAGUGCUGCAGCUAACGCAUUAAGCACUCCGCCUGGGGAGUACGACCGCAAGGUUGAAACUCAAAGGAAUUGACGGGGACCCGCACAAGCGGUGGAGCAUGUGGUUUAAUUCGAAGCAACGCGAAGAACCUUACCAAAUCUUGACAUCCUUUGACAACUCUAGAGAUAGAGCCUUCCCCUUCGGGGGACAAAGUGACAGGUGGUGCAUGGUUGUCGUCAGCUCGUGUCGUGAGAUGUUGGGUUAAGUCCCGCAACGAGCGCAACCCUUAAGCUUAGUUGCCAUCAUUAAGUUGGGCACUCUAAGUUGACUGCCGGUGACAAACCGGAGGAAGGUGGGGAUGACGUCAAAUCAUCAUGCCCCUUAUGAUUUGGGCUACACACGUGCUACAAUGGACAAUACAAAGGGCAGCGAAACCGCGAGGUCAAGCAAAUCCCAUAAAGUUGUUCUCAGUUCGGAUUGUAGUCUGCAACUCGACUACAUGAAGCUGGAAUCGCUAGUAAUCGUAGAUCAGCAUGCUACGGUGAAUACGUUCCCGGGUCU